UGACACUGGUGGAGCUGCAGGUCGUGAGGGCUGCCAUCCGAGAGUCCCUGCCUGGGGAGUCUGGCCCACUGAGCCUAGUCUGCCAUGGUGGAGAGCCUGGCCAUGACUCCGUGCUGCAGCGGCUCCUGAGGGAGGGGAUCUGUGAGCCCCACAGCCUUGGUAGCCGGGGGUGAAGAUGUCAUGCAUGAGAUACCUCCUGCAAGAAGCCAGAAGAGCAAAGAAGGCCGUGUGUGUAAAGAGCCCAGUGCUGGUUCCCGAACUCUGUGGGCCCUCGUCUUAUCUCCCCGGCCAGCCCAUCCAUCACGUGACCUCCAGCACUGUGGCCUGUGUGUGCCAGGCCCUCCAAGGAGCUCAGCAAGGAAAGGUCAGGUGAGGACCCCGACCACGCUGCCACCUUCAUCUCGGACUUCUGGCUUCCAGAGCACAAGGAGGGAGUGUUUGCUGUUUAAGCCAUCCAGUCUAUGGUACUUUGUUACAGCAGCCUAAACUGACCAAGACAUCCCUCUUCUGUAUGGCAGAAUUAUUAUCAGUCAUAGUCAAGAGAUAAAACUUAUAAUCAUGUCCAGAAAAAAAAAUGCAGAGUGUAAAGUGUCUUAAAUUGAACUUUGUAUGUAUAAUCAUGGCAUGAUAAAAGUGAAUACUUUUUUUUUUUUUCUUUGAGAUGGAGUUUCACUCUUGUUGCCCAGGCUGGAGUGCAGUGGCGCGAUCUUGGCUCACUGCAACCUCCGCCUCCCGGGUUCAAGCAAUUCUCCUGCCUCUGCCUCCCAGGUAGCUGGGACUACAGGUGCCUGCCACCACACCUGGCUAAUUUUUGUAUUUUUAGUAGAGACGGGGUUUCACCAUGUUGGCCAGGAUAGUCUCAAUCUUUUGACCUCGUGAUCCGCCUGCCUCCGCCUCCCAAAGUGCUGGGAUUACAGGCGUGAGCCACCGCGCCCGGCAUUUUCAUUUUUAAAGAUAGUAUUUAAAAUCAGUAAUAUUUCAUGUAUGAACUAAUAUGUAUAUUUGUCAAACAAAAAAUGUUAUACCUUGAAGUUCACAGUUUUAUCACUUUACAUAUUUUAAACACAAAUAAACAUCCCAAGUGGUCCCAUAGACUGACAGAGUUGAAGUAACUGAUGUUCUGUUUCCUCGUCUUUAUUUUGUUUUCGGUUUUUUUUUUUUUUUUGAGACAGGGUCUUCCUCUGUUGUCCAGGCUGGAGUGCAGUGGUGCAGUCAUAGCUCACUGCAGCCUCAAAUUCCUAGGCUCAAGUGAUUCUUCUACCUCAGCCUCCGCUACCAUACCUGGAUAAUUUUUAUUUUUAUUUUUGCAGAGAUGAUGUCUUACUGUAUUGCCCAGGCUG
rnacentral:lncRNA from 1 species